rnacentral:pre_miRNA from 1 species
UAUUUUGUAGCCACUUUUGAGUUACGAUAAUUAUUAUAUUAGUUUACAAGUAAGUGGUUUACUGUAACAUUACGGUAAAUAUCCACAUGUGUUAUAGUAACCCAACUAUCGUAAAUAUGUAUAUACAAAUUAACAUAAAUUAGUAUAUAAAAUUAUCGUAGAUGGAGGUGGCUACAGAAUA